AAGAAGCGGGGCCUGGGACCGCGUGAGCGAGGCAGCGCACUCCGAGCGCGCUGGACAACACCAAAGCCCAAGUAUCUGCCCUCGGGCAGUGCCCGAUCCCUGCUUUCCUUCUUUCCUUCUUUCCUUCACGCCCCGUCUAGUCCUGCCAGAGAUAGGAGCAGCCCAGACGAUUCUUGUCUCCUGCCAACAGGACUACCAACCCACUGGGUGCCGGAGUAGGAAGCACCUGAAUCCUCUUUGUGGUGGGGCAUCUCCACGACUAGCGCGGCAUCCUCGCCGGGCACAACUGCGCGCUGUUGGAGUGAGGCAACUGGGCGCACAGAUUUUUCCUGUACUUAGAACAAGUCGGAGGCAGCUGCCGGAAGUCUCCGGCUAGAGGGUCCCAAAGCUGCGCUCCCCACCCCACCCCCGCCCGUGGUUUCAGGGGCUUCUGCCCCUUCUCUCAGCUGGUUUUUCUAGAUCAGCCUUCCUCAAGUACUCGCUCAGACGCAGCGAGCCAGGCUCGGUCGAGACAUGAGUGUGGCGACUCAAAAUUCCCCAGAGGGGGAACACGGUAAACCUAUUCCCCCAGUUUGCUGAAAAAGAGCCACGCUUCCAGCUUCUAGAGACUCUUUUAAGCUCAAUUUUAAAAAUAUAUAUUUUUUCUUUUUUGGUCCAAAGUGACGGUGGUUAAAUGAACAACAGUUUCUGUCUUAUUUACUAACCCUUGUAUAGUCCUAUGUACGUUCAAUUAACGUUGAGAAUGUGGGUUCUGAUUAAGAUGAAACAUGUUAAAAACGAUGAACAUUAAUUUGCUCAUCGCGUUAAACCUGUUGAAUGAAUAUGCAAGAUACAGAAACUAUUAUUACAGGAUCAAGAUUUUAUGCAGUGGACUGAGAUCUGAAAGUUCCGUGAAUGAAUGCUCCUGUAUCUUUCUAAAUAAAAUGGCAUUUUAUUUCUAAAUGAAAUAUAAGUCUGAAUCUUUCUAAAUAAAAAGGCAUGUUGGGAAAUUAAAGCAUUAAGUUCCAUGUUAUUUUAAUGCUAAAAGGACAAGUGAUUCUGUUAAA
rnacentral:lncRNA from 1 species